CCACCGAGUCUGGAAGCCCACACUCACCCCUUUACCCGGGAAACGCGGCCGGAGCCGGCGGCGGGUCGGGAGUCCGAGAUGGUAGAUCCCCCUCCAGGCGCCUCGCUGACAUUUUGUCCCGGACGGAAAACCUCCGCGCGUGCCCCUUAAAGACACAGCGCUGCAUUCACACGUCUGCGGGGAAAGGGGGGCCGUCACGUGUGGCCUUCGCCCGAAAGCGGUAGGGGAGUCGCUCUGAAACCGCCAAGGAUCGCGAGCGACAGAUUUGUGUUGGCCAGGGUUUUAAGAUGACGCAAUAGCUGAGUGUGGUUGAAAUGUAACUAUUGUUUUACAACUUUGCAUUAACCUUCCAAGACCUGAAUUCCCGGGCCUGAGUCUCAGAGCGCGGUUUGCAUCUUUGCAGGCUGUAGGCGCAUGAUGUCACAAGUUAUUGGAAGAAAUCCCUCCAACCUAGGUUGGGACAGAUGAAGGCGGCGCUUAUUGGUGUUCACCAAAACACCAGCAUGGUGUACCAGCUUUGGCUAGAUGAUGCUCAGACGGGCCUGUCUAAUUGCAGGAAAACAAACUCAGGGCUCCCACUGAUUCUACAUUACGAACACCAGAGACUGGGUAAUUAAUAAAAAGAAGAAAUUGAUCUGGCCUACAGUUCUGGAGCCUUGGAAGUCCGAGAUCAAGGAGCUGCAUCUGGAAAACACAGAUCCUGGUGCCGAACAUGAGGACAGGGCAGGCCGAAGGAGAAAGUGGAAGGAGGGGAGCUUCUCUCUCAGCCUCAUCCUUCUGGGCCUGGAUGCUGGAGAGUCAUGAGGUGCUUCAGAGUACUCUGGGUGAGGAGGGAAAGAUGGUGCCCACCACAUGGAGGCCAGCCUAGGUCUUGUAUGAAACCUGUGAGGUAUGAAGGAGUAAUUUUUCUUUCUAAGCCAUUUCUCUGCUUAUUUCUCAGAUCAGUGCCCUUUAUGUUUGAACUUGGUGUGAAUGACCAUCUUAGUGAUUCUUACUGCAAUGACAAUAGGGAGUUAAAUGACAUAAGUUUCUUUUUCAUGGGAAAGGAUAUAAAAAUGUAUCUGCAUGUGGUCAGUGUAGAAUAUUCCCAGCCAGAGGUGCAGUUUUCUGGAUCCCUCCCACAGACAUUGUGUGGAAGCACACCUAUUAACCGAUAAGGGGCGAAAUUUCACCAGAAUAGAGAAGCAUCCUCUUUGCCCUUUUCACAGGGGUGGGGAUGAGGUUAGGGGUGGGGUUAUACCUUCUUUGCUCACCCAGCUGCUUCUAUAUAUCUUAGCCUGGAUAUGCCUAAACUUAAGCCAAAA
rnacentral:lncRNA from 1 species